rnacentral:tRNA from 4 species
GGGCAGGUGGCGGAACUGGCAGACGCGCACGGCUCAGGACCGUGUGACCGAAAGGUCUUAGGGGUUCAAGUCCCCUCUUGCCCACCG